GUGCUUAACACAUGCAAGUCGCGUGCGCAGUUCCUGUAGCAAUACAGGGACGGGCGCACGGCGCACGGGUGCGUAACACGUGGGCAAUCUGCCCUCCGAUGGGGAAUAACCCCGCGAAAGCGGGGCUAAUACCGCAUAACAUUCCUUGGGCUACGGUCUGGGGAUUCAAAGCAGUGAUGCGUCGGAGGAGGAGCCCGCGCCCGAUUAGCUAGUUGGUGAGGUAACGGCUCACCAAGGCAAUGAUCGGUAGCUGGUCUGAGAGGAUGAUCAGCCACACUGGAACUGAGACACGGUCCAG
rnacentral:rRNA from 1 species